AUUUUUUUAAUGAUCGUGACUAAAACACCACACGAGUACAUACGAGUAACAUACGAGUAACACACAAGUACAUACGAGUACAUACGAGUAACACACGAGUACAUACGAGUAACAUACGAGCAACAUACGAGUACAUACGAGUAACACACGAGUACAUACGAGUAACAUACGAGUAAAACACAAGUACAUACGAGUAAAACACAAGUACAUACGAGUACAUAC